rnacentral:misc_RNA from 1 species
AUUUCUAGUUUUCUUUAACUUGUAUCCCUACAACAAAACAUGGUUGGAAAUUGGCAUUGUGUAGCCAUCUCGAUCCAUAUUGUCUUCAAUGCAUUAGAUUUCCACUGAUCAAGCAACAUUUAGGAAAUCCAUUGCCAUCAUUUAUGUUAGUGAAAUAAAUAAUGAGCACUUGUGUAUCACUUGCAAAGGAAGCUUUAAUAUCUCUUAUACUUGUAUGAGAAUCAAUUUUGCCAACUUACUUUCCUUGUAACAUAUUGUAUCUAUUGGCCAUGUUUAAUUCUAUGCUUCCUUCUACUAUUUGCCAAGUUCAUAUCAUGCACAUGCAUGCUUAUAUCCCAUGGUACAUACACACUUGUCACUUGAUAUAUUUGUAAGAGAAGGAUGACAUCAUUAACCAUCUAUGAUGGCUCUUGCAGAUAAAGAUUCUACUGAUCUAUAAUCUGUAUAACUCUGCUCCUGAAGAUCUGCUGCCACAUUAUUUUUCUUGCGUAGUUUAAUUAUCUAUUACCCUUUUCUAUGGCAUUUAUCUGUGUUCUCUAUAGAGAAAUGGAAAGAUUUCAUAUUAUCCUUUUUUCCCCCAAAAAAAUUUCAAUAUUGGUUAAAUAUUUUUCUGAAUUGCUUCGUGGAACAGUUAUGUUUCGGAGACAGAGAGA